AUUGAACGCUGGCGGUAUGCUUAAGACAUGCAAGUCGAACGGUAACAGGUUAAGCUGACGAGUGGCGGACGAGUGAGUAACGCGUGGGAAUCUACCUUGUAGUGGGGGAUAAGCCAGGGAAACUUGGACUAAUACCGCAUACGCCCUAAGGGGGAAAGGCGCAAGUCGCUAUAAGAUGAGCCCGCGUCUGAUUAGGUAGUUGGUGGGGUAAAGGCCUACCAAGCCGACGAUCAGUAGCUGGUCUGAGAGGAUGAUCAGCCACGUCGGGACUGAGACACGGCCCGGACUCCUACGGGAGGCAGCAGUCGGGAAUAUUGGACAAUGGGGGAAACCCUGAUCCAGCAAUACCGCGUGUGUGAAGAAGGCCUGCGGGUUGUAAAGCACUUUCAGUUGGGAAGAUAAUGACGUUACCAACAGAAGAAGCACCGGCUAACU
rnacentral:rRNA from 1 species